rnacentral:lncRNA from 1 species
UAUGGUUACUCUUCAUUCGUUUUGAAUCCUAUGUGUGCUGCCUAUAUAUAAAGUAAUAGAUUGCUAUGAAUAUGCGAUGUUAUGAAUAUCUUUGUCACUACAUGUAUAUGCUACACUAUUCCCUUUUAGCAGGUUUUGAACUUGAAGUUCAAGACACAAGAAGAGUUCGCCCGGGUCGGGAUAUAUUCGGACGGAGCCUUGUCUUAUUUUAUUUUGACGUUUGUCUUUCUAUUAAUAUUGGUUUUAUUUGAUUUUGUAAUAAUGUUGUAUAACUCUAACUCCA